UACGUAGGGUGCGAGCGUUAAUCGGAAUUACUGGGCGUAAAGCGUGCGCAGGCGGUUUUGUAAGCCAGAUGUGAAAUCCCCGGGCUUAACCUGGGAGUGGCGUCUGAAACUACGGAGCUGGAGUGUGGCAGAGGGAGGUAGAAUUCCACGUGUAGCGGUGAAAUGCGUAGAUAUGUGGAGGAAUACCGAUGGCGAAGGCAGCCUCCUGGGCCAACACUGACGCUCAUGCACGAAAGCGUGGGGAGCAAACAGG
rnacentral:rRNA from 1 species